rnacentral:rRNA from 1 species
AUACGGAGGUUGCAAGCGUUAUUCGGAAUCACUGGGCGUAAAGGACGCGUAGGCGGGUUGGCAAGUCAGAUGUGAAAUCCUACAGCUUAACUGUAGAACUGCAUUUGAAACUGCUAACCUAGAGUAUGGGAGGGGGAGAUGGAAUUAGUGGUGUAGGGGUAAAAUCCGUAGAUAUCACUAGGAAUACCGAAAGCGAAGGCGAUCUCCUGGAACAUAACUGACGCUAAGGCGUGAAAGCGUGGGGAGCAAACAGGAUUAGAUACCCUUGUAGUCC